rnacentral:tRNA from 1 species
GCGGAAGUAGUUCAGUGGUAGAACAGCACCUUGCCAAGGUGGGGGUCGCGAGUUCGAACCUCGUCUUCCGCUCCA